rnacentral:rRNA from 1 species
UUUCCUCCUUUAUUCAGCAGUCGGGAAUAUUGCGCAAUGAGGAAACUCUGACGCAGUGACGCCGCGUAUAGGAAGAAGGUUUUCGGAUUGUAAACUAUUGUCGUGAGGGAAGAAAUUGACAGUACCUCAGGAGGAAGCUCCGGCUAACUAUGUGCCAGCAGCCGCGGUAAUACAUAGGGAGCAAGCGUUAUCCGGAUCUAUUGGGUGUAAAGGGUGCGUAGACGGGAAAUUAAGUUAGUUGUGAAAUCCCUCGGCUUAACUGAGGAACUGCAACUAAAACUGAUCUUCUUGAGUACUGGAGAGGA